rnacentral:lncRNA from 1 species
GGCGACAAAAGUGGCUGGACCAAUCAGUAGCUCAAUCUCUAGUGUACCCAUGACCUCCCUCCGAGUGCUAUCAUACGCGCGAACGGUCUGAGUGGAUGGGCCGAAAUCGGAUGGUGCGUAUCCAAGGGCGAUGGCGGUGGUCAGAGGACAUACGUUCAGGGCCGAGCCAUUGUCCAGAAGGACAGAUGGAACUCGGCGACCUGAACAGCCAACAGAUAUAUAGAGAGGAC